rnacentral:ncRNA from 1 species
GUAAUGUCGGUGAAAAGAAAUAGUAACUAGUAAACUAAUUUAUUAGAGAGUCUAUGUUUGGUGAAAAUAGAUAUUUAGCCUAGUGAAUCUACCUUUGAGACAAGCGUAUGCCUGCGUUAAAGGUUUUAAGUGCUAGGUUUUCCUAGAAUUAAGGUGGCACCGCGAUAAUUCGUCCUUAGA